AACCUAGCACACCUGCGGUGUGUACCUGCGGAGGGAUCAUUAUUGAAUAUUCUUGAUGGGUUGUAGCUGGCUCCUUGGGGAGUAUGUGCACACCUGUCUUGAUUUAAUUCAUCCACCUGUGCACCUUUUGUAGUCUUGGGGGUAAAGCAGUCAACUAUCGGAUAUCUUCCGGAUGUGUGGAAUGCUGAGUGCGAAAGCAUACAGCUUUUCUCAAACUGACUUGCAAUUCCUCAAGUACUA
rnacentral:misc_RNA from 1 species